CAAAAAAAAUUCUAAUCCUGUUGGGAUCUUGAUUGGAUUAUCUUAAUUUCACACAUUUGUUUAGGAGAAUUGACAUCCUUAAAGCAUUAAAUCUUUCUACUCAAGAACUAGGUAUAUACCAUAUUUAUUCAAACUCAGAAGAGUUUUCUUCAUGUAAUGCUACACACUUUUUUGUAAAGUUUAUUUCUGAGUAUUUUGUGUUUGUGUUUUACAGUAUGGAUGGAGCUUUUAUUUUAC
rnacentral:lncRNA from 10 species